GGACCAGGCCUAGAGCUGACUCAUCUCAGCUCUCGCUCCUGCCCAGCCCACCAUGGCCUUUCCUGCAAUUGCCGCUGCAUUCUUUGUGGGACUUAUCGUAGGAUCAACAAUUGUAGCACUGGUAACAAAAAAGAAACUGAUUAUCCGUUGUAACAGUCGUGAUGGUCUUUAUCUAUCUGUUGGUGAGUGGGGAGGGCAGGGCAGUUGGACUGUGCUGAGUGGGAAUACAGUGCUGUACCCUGAGUUUACUCUGAAGCCCAACCAAUCCUUUCAAUCCUCCCUGAUCGGAAUGUGCCCAAACUGUAGGGAAAAGGAUCAAUUCCAAUGUGCUGGGAAGAGCCAGGAUGUGCUGGGGUGGGGGGUCAAGGCUGAGGGCAUCAGGGCUGUGCAGGCAGGUGUGUGACCUGUGGCAAGAACUCCUGUGUCCACUGGCAGCAGUGGCCAGAGACAGAAAGGGGGAGCAGAAAGGGCUUGGGUGUGCUCAGGGAGCAGAGCUUGCUGCAGGCCAAGUGUCUGUCACACAUUGAGGAGAUCCCUACUGGAGAGACAUUGCUGGCUGUUCCUGCCUCGUGCUUGUCCAUCAGCAGGCAGCCCUGAUGCUUCUGGGACAUGACACUCCUGUCUUUAUAGGGGGAGAAGAAAAAGACAACGAUCCCAGUAGCAGUCCAAGCAAUGCACUCCAGAAGAAGGGAUGUUGAACACUGCCAGUGAACAGAAGUACAUUUCCUAACUUGCAGGCAGCCUGAUUCCUGCCUUCCCUCUGCUGCAACUGGAAAGCAUCCCUGGCCCCCAGCUGCCCCUUUAAAACAAUAUUAUUACGUUGUAAAAUAAAUGCUUUGAAAACUUUAAUAAAACUGCAGACUGGUGUGUGUGUGUGGUGUUCCUUGGCGUGUGUCGUGGCUCAGGUAGCUGCCCUGCACCUGGGGAUUUGCAGGAAGGGAUUGCAGCAGGCAGUGUUUCCAGCCUUGCCCCCUGUCCCCCUGCACAGCGAGGGGCUGGCUCCACUGAACCCUGACAGUGCUGGCAGUCCCUGGGAGCCCAGCACUGCUCCAGCAAAUCCUCAGGGCAGCAUCGCCCUGCACUGCAGGGCCGGCAGAGCCCGAGGGGUUCAGUGGGUGCAGCUCUGCAGCCUCGGGCUCAGGACACCCACUCACUUUGAUUUGGGCUGGGACAGGGGAGCUGGUCCUGCCACACACGCUGUGCCCCACUGCUCCUGCUGGGCUGGGGCCUGUCCUGGGUCCUGGGAGCCGUGUCUGGGAUCCUCAUGGCCGGAUCCCUGGGGAGCUCCUGGGGUGCUGGCAGAGCAUCCUGGGCUAGCAGGGCUGUGGUGGCAGCCACAGUGGUGGCUCAGGA
rnacentral:lncRNA from 1 species